rnacentral:rRNA from 1 species
UACAGAGGUCUCAAGCGUUGUUCGGAUUCAUUGGGCGUAAAGGGUGCGUAGGUGGCGCCGUAAGUCGGGUGUGAAAUUUCGAAGCUUAACUCCGAAACUGCAUUCGAUACUGCGGUGCUUGAGGACUGGAGAGGAGACUGGAAUUCAUGGUGUAGCAGUGAAAUGCGUAGAGAUCAUGAGGAAGACCAGUGGCGAAGGCGGGUCUCUGGACAGUUCCUGACACUGAGGCACGAAGGCCAGGGGAGCAAACGGG